UUAUCAGCUGACAAAAUGAUCCAAACAGUGAAUGACUGAGUUGAUUUUGUUUGUUUCAAAGUCAGAGAGCCGUGUCUCUCUCCAGUCAGAGGUUUUUGUACGGCGGCUCAAUGAGUUUGUAUCACUGUGGUACACGUUCGGUGGAGGAACCAGACUGGAAGUUGGAAGUGAUGCCCCCCCCACCCUGACGGUGCUGCCUCCCUCCGUGGAUGAGCUGGAGCAGGGGAAGGCCACCGUUACGUGCCUGGCCAACAAGGGCUUCCCCUCAGACUGGAUUCUGUCCUGGAAGCUGCAGGGCAGCAGCACCCUCAAGUGGGAGGAGAGCAGGAGCCCCGGGGUGCUGCAGAAGGACGGCCACUACAGCUGGAGCAGCAACCUGAGGCUCCCUGCAGACCAGUGGAGCAAGGUGGUCUCUGUGAGCUGUGAGGCCAGCCAGAGCUCCCAGACUCAAAGAGUCUCAGAGACACUGAGGAGAGACCAGUGUUCCCAGUCCUGACCUGACUCACUGGGACUCUCAGACUGCUUCCACUGUCUCUCUGCUUUUUCUCUCUUUCUUCUAAUCUCUUUCUUCACUUGUUCAUUGCUUGAUGUAAUCCUGUAAGUGCAUACGUUUCCAAACAAUAAAAACAUAUCAAACUUC